rnacentral:rRNA from 1 species
GUAGGUGGCAAGCGUUGUCCGGAAUUAUUGGGCGUAAAGCGCGCGCAGGCGGUUCUUUAAGUCUGAUGUGAAAGCCCACGGCUCAACCGUGGAGGGUCAUUGGAAACUGGAGAACUUGAGUACAUAAGAGGAAAGCGGAAUUCCACGUGUAGCGGUGAAAUGCGUAGAGAUGUGGAGGAACACCAGUGGCGAAGGCGGCUUUCUGCUCUGUAACUGACGCUGAGGCGCGAAAGCGUGGGGAGCAAACAGGAUUAGAUACCCUGGUAGUCCACGCCGUAAACGAUGAGUGCUAAGUGUUAGGGGGGUUUCCGCCCCCCUUAGUGCUGCAGCUAACGCAUUAAGCACUCCGCCUGGGAGUACGGCCGCAAGGCUG